rnacentral:rRNA from 1 species
UGCCUAGGCGCCAGGAGCCGACGAAGGACGUGGCGAACAACGAUAAGGCCUCGGGGAGCUGUAAGCAAGCUUUGAUCCGGGGAUGUCCGAAUGGGGAAACCCGGCUGUCUUCAUCGACAGUCACUUUCUGCUGAAUACAUAGGCAGAAUAGAGGCAGACCAGGGGAACUGAAACAUCUAAGUACCCUGAGGAAGAGAAAACAAUAGUGAUUCCGUCAGUAGCGGCGAGCGAACGCGGAUUAGCCCAAACCAAGGAGCUUGCUCCUUGGGGUUGUGGGACGUCUCACAUGGAGUUACAAAGGAACCGGUUAGAUGAAGAGGUCUGGAAAGGCCCGCCAGAGAAGGUAAAAGCCCUGUAGUUCAAAACUUGUUCUCUCCGAGACGGAUCCCGAGUAGUGCGGGGCACGUGAAACCCCGUAUGAAUCCGGCAGGACCAUCUGCCAAGGCUAAAUACUCCCUGGCGACCGAUAGUGAAGCAGUACCGUGAGGGAAAGGUGAAAAGCACCCCGGAAGGGGAGUGAAAUAGAUCCUGAAACCGUGUGCUUACAAGAAGUCAGAGCCCGAUCUAUGGGUGAUGGCGUGCCUUUUGUAGAAUGAACCGGCGAGUUACGUUCCCGUGCAAGGUUAAGGUGAAGAGCUGAAGCCGCAGCGAAAGCGAGUCUGAAUAGGGCGAAUGAGUACGUGGACGUAGACCCGAAACCGGGUGAUCUACCCCUGUCCAGGGUGAAGGUGCGGUAACACGCACUGGAGGCCCGAACCCACGCAUGUUGAAAAAUGCGGGGAUGAGGUGGGGGUAGCGGAGAAAUUCCAAUCGAACCCGGAGAUAGCUGGUUCUCCCCGAAAUAGCUUUAGGGCUAGCCUCGGAAAAUAGAAUCGUGGAGGUAGAGCACUGAUUGGGUGCGGGGCCCGCAAGGGUUACCAAGCUCAGUCAAACUCCGAAUGCCAUAGAUUUAGUUCCGGGAGUCAGACAGUGAGUGCUAAGAUCCAUUGUCGAAAGGGAAACAGCCCAGACCAUCAGCUAAGGUCCCCAAGUGUGUGUUAAGUGGGAAAGGAUGUGGAGUUGCACAGACAACCAGGAUGUUGGCUUAGAAGCAGCCACCAUUGAAAGAGUGCGUAAUAGCUCACUGGUCGAGUGACUCUGCGCCGAAAAUGUAACGGGGCUAAACACACCACCGAAGCUAUGGCUUGAUGCUUGCAUCAGGGGUAGGGGAGCGUUGAAUGCGGGUUGAAGGUGUACCGUAAGGAGCGCUGGACUGCAUUCAAGUGAGAAUGCCGGUAUGAGUAACGAAAAGAUCUGUGAGAAUCAGAUCCGCCGAAAGCCUAAGGGUUCCUGAGGAAGGUUCGUCCGCUCAGGGUAAGUCGGGACCUAAGGCGAGGCCGAUAGGCGUAGUCGAAGGACAACAGGUCGAAAUUCCUGUACCACCGUAAUCCGUUAUGAGCGAUGGGGUGACGCAGUAGGGUAGUGACGCGGACUGAUGGAUGUCCGUCUAAGCAGUGAGGCUGGUGUGUAGGCAAAUCCGCACAUCGUUAAGGCUGGGCUGUGAUGGGGAGCGAAAAUUGUAGUAG